rnacentral:rRNA from 1 species
AAACUAACAAGGAUUCCCCUAGUAACGGCGAGUGAAGAGGGAAAAGCCCAGCACCGAAUCCCACAGCCUAGCGCUGUCGGGAACUGUGGUGUAUAGGAAGCCUACUUGUCGGCGUGUUCGGGUACCCAAGUCCUCCUGAUCGUGGCCUCUCCCAUAGCGGGUGUCAGGCCCAUACAGGCACCCGACGGCGUCGGCUUGGAGCUUCCUCGGAGUCGGGUUGUUUGGGAAUG